CGAGAGGAACUGGGGGAGGACGGUGGCCCGCGAGGCGAGGCGCAGACAACGCGGCGGCGAUGUCCGCGAGCCAGACGAGUCCCGCGGCGGUAGCUGCGGGGCCUCGCGCGCGGCAGGGCGACCUGGACUUCGGCUUCCCUCCGGUUCCUUGGAAGUGGGCGGGCGGCAAGUGCGGGAGCAGCAGCAGCCGAGGCGGAGGCUCUGGCUCGUCUCUCUCCUCCCCCUCAGCCUGAGCCGGGGGAGGCCAGGCGGCACGGGUAGCUGGAGGGGGGUACGCUGCCCAAGAAUGGGAAUUCUCUUCACCAGGAUAUGGAGACUGUUCAAUCACCAGGAGCACAAAGUUAUCAUUGUUGGGCUGGAUAAUGCAGGGAAAACUACCAUCCUUUACCAAUUUUCUAUGAAUGAAGUUGUACAUACAUCCCCUACAAUAGGAAGUAAUGUAGAAGAGAUAGUCAUUAAUAAUACACGUUUCCUAAUGUGGGAUAUUGGUGGUCAAGAAUCUCUUCGUUCUUCCUGGAACACUUACUAUACUAACACUGAGUUUGUAAUAGUUGUUGUGGACAGUACAGACAGAGAAAGGAUUUCUGUAACUAAAGAAGAGCUGUAUAAAAUGUUAGCGCAUGAGGACCUAAGAAAAGCUGGAUUGCUGAUUUUUGCUAAUAAACAAGAUGUUAAAGAAUGUAUGACUGUAGCAGAAAUCUCCCAGUUUUUGAAACUAACUUCUAUUAAAGAUCACCAGUGGCAUAUCCAGGCAUGCUGUGCUCUUACAGGCGAGGGACUGUGCCAAGGACUUGAAUGGAUGAUGUCACGACUUAAGAUUAGAUGAUCUCUGCUGACCUCUUCGCAUAGACUGUGUAAACGAAGUGCUGGACUUUUCCUGAAAGCUGCAAAAAUUAAUGGUUUAGAUAUAUUUAUAAUAAACUGAUUUAAACUUUUUCUAUAAGAAGAAAAAUUAAGACCACUUAUUUGAAAACAAAGAUGAAGUCUCACCUUCCAAUUGGCUUUCUCAUUAGUUCCUUCCAAAGUUAAAUCUUAAAGCUGUGACUGACAUUUUUCUCAUAAUGAAAAUGACCCCUCUCAGGACAUUGUGUAGCCUGUGUUCUCUUUCAGUUUCCCAGCACAUCUUGGCCCUCACAAUGGCCAGAGAAUACAAUGAAGGCAGGUGAGUUGGGAGCAGGGAGUGGGUCGGGAAGUCCUCAUCUUAUAUGAUAUUUUGCCUUAAGAAUAAAAAAAAAGUGCUUUAGCACUGUAGGCUGACAUUUUUAGUACAGAUAUUUGUGGUGAUUUUAGAAGUGUGACAUGAAAUAGACGAGUUUUUCUGGCCUUUAAGAAGUACCUAGUAGGUAGUUGACAGUAGAGAUCACAGAAGUGCAGAAAGCUCAAGGAAAGGCACGAAGUCCCUGAGAUUUUCUUUUCCUUUUCAUCUGAGUGUAUAGUAUUAAGAUGCCUAGAAGUGGGACUCUUGUCCCCUCUUACAUUUCUUGCUGUGACUACAGCAACCACAUACAGUACAGACAACCUCAAAAUCUGUUUAUAUUAGUGUAAAUAGAAAAGCUAGAUUACUUUCUAGUUUUCUCUGCAGGCAUUUUUAGGAAUAUAUCUGUAGUUUGUUUAACUUUGUAUAUAGAGGAGUAAGCAGCACAUUGUAAAUUAUCUGUGGAAUUUGGGGUCAUCUCUCAAUUGCCCAGUUGUAUCCUUACAUCAGUCCCUUUUACAAAGCUGGAUCGAGACAAGUUUUCUUCACAUGACUUAACUUUGACCCCUCUUGCUGUCUAAAUAAACCCAAACUUCUUUCCUUGCUUCAGGUAUCCCUUGCUCUCCUGUAUUUUCAUUCACCAUCAAUGAAGACAUGUCAUAUCAGUCCUGGGGGUAUUCUUAACUUUGACUAUACCCAUUGUUUCCCAAACCACUAGUUUCUACGUAGGUUCUCCAGUUCUUCCUAUCUUCCCAACACUGGCUUGAUUCAUUGAUUUGGACUUUGGUCACUCAUGAGCAUUGUCACAAGUUUGCUUUUUGAGCAGUAUAUACAUGACAGUAGUAGCAAAAUCCUUUUGAUGUUUUAAAGCUUCUUAAUUUUAGCCUCAUAUGCUAAGAAGUAGAUUCGGAAAAAUAAGAGAACUACCCAGACUCUGCCAGCUCUUUGACCUACUAUUUAGGCACAAAGGGGAUUAAGUAAUAAGUGUAUUAUCUUUCCAUUACCAAGAAUGGGCUGCAUUUUGAAGAAUACCAAUACGAACAGUUUAAACUGUUAAAAAGAUACCAAACCAGAUUUAUAUGUUGUGUUUAACCUAAAGAAAUCUUUAAAAACUGUUGCCCACAUGCCAUUCUUUCCUGAUGUUUACUUAAAGAACAAGGAUAAACAUUAGUUAGUUGCCUAGGGAAAUUAGUAAUAAGAAGCCUAUUUUUACAAAAUAGACCUGUUGAAAUGGGCUUUAUAAGACAUCAAAAUAGUCAGCUAUCAUGUAUUUACUCUUUGUAGAUGCAGGUGUAAUAUAGAAAAUACUUCUUUAAAGCUCUACUUGUACAAAAAUAAAACUAUAUCAUGCUGCCCCAAAGAAGGUAUGAUAGAUUGUUUUAAGACCAUCAUGUGGAAUAAAGGAAAGGGAGUCAGGAUUUAAAACGUUGGAUGCUAAAAGUUGACUUUCUACUAAACCCUAUAAUUGUAUGUGGAAUUACAAAAAAUGUAACAGGAUGCAGUUGGGUUAGUUAUGCAAUCUUUUCAGUUGUCUGGCCUUAUUUAUUGUUCUAAAAACCAAACUUUAAAUCUUUAUGGUGUUGCCUGCUAGUUACACUGUUCUUUGGUAGAAAAUUCCUGUAGUCUGUACUCAAGAAGUGCCUAAAAUUGAUUUGUGAUGAUUUUUGAGUCCAUCUAAUAAAUUAUAUGUGUUUUCUAUAGUA